rnacentral:rRNA from 1 species
AUUGAACGCUGGCGGCAGGCCUAACACAUGCAAGUCGAGCGGAUGAAGGGAGCUUGCUCCUGGAUUCAGCGGCGGACGGGUGAGUAAUGCCUAGGAAUCUGCCUGGUAGUGGGGGACAACGUUUCGAAAGGAACGCUAAUACCGCAUACGUCCUACGGGAGAAAGCAGGGGACCUUCGGGCCUUGCGCUAUCAGAUGAGCCUAGGUCGGAUUAGCUAGUUGGUGAGGUAAUGGCUCACCAAGGCGACGAUCCGUAACUGGUCUGAGAGGAUGAUCAGUCACACUGGAACGGAGACACGGUCCAGACUCCUACGGGAGGCAGCAGUGGGGAAUAUUGGACAAUGGGCGAAAGCCUGAUCCAGCCAUGCCGCGUGUGUGAAGAAGGUCUUCGGAUUGUAAAGCACUUUAAGUUGGGAGGAAGGGUUGUAGAUUAAUACUCUGCAAUUUUGACGUUACCGACAGGAUAAGCACCGGCUAACUCUGUGCCAGCCGCCGCGGUAAUAC